GCUUCCACGUCCCCCUGCCUGCCUUCUGGUCCUCCCGUAAGCGACAGGCGGCUCUCAGAAGGCAGUGGUCAGAGAAGAACACCGGCGUGACGGCGGUGGACCUGACCGUGAGGGACUCCGACAGGAAGAGGAAGUCGAUCCGGGAGCGGGCUGAGCCGUCCGAUCGUGUCCAGGUGGCUUGCGGCUGUGCUCCACCUGUGGGGGUGCCAAAGGCGUCGCGCAGCUUGGCUGUCUUUACUAUUUCCCUCAGGAGUCUGGAGGUACUGUCCAGCCGGCGUCGGCGCUGCCGGGUCCUCCGGCCGCAUCAAUGGUGCAGUUGAAGUCUCCGGCCACAACGACCGGCUGGGGUGUCAGCAGCAGCUGCGGGAGCUGCUCGAAGACGGCCAGCCGCUCGCUCCGAACGGGGGAGGCGUACGCGUUGAUCAGCCGGAGCGGAGUGCCCCGGUAUUUGACGUCUGCUACCAGGAGGCGCCCCGCAGCCACCUCUUUAACUCGGAUGACUCUGUGAGAAUUCUGGAUGACGCCGAGCCGCAGAGGAACAUUGAGGUUGUGAUGGCCAAGAUGGCUUUCUGAAGAAGCUUCACGAGGACGAGGUGACUGACCAGACCCACAACAUCGAGGAGUCCAGGGCCUCAGUGGAACUCAGUUCUGCUCAGCUGAACUUUGGGCUGUCCUGAGCAACAUUCCUGUGUUCUACCUCUCCCCACACGUUAUGGACAGUGGCCAUUGGCCAAGGAACUUACUGGCCUGCAUGUACUUGGGAUGUGGGAAGAACCUGCAGCACUCGAAGAGGAAUGGCCAGGCUGGUUCAAGUUG